rnacentral:rRNA from 1 species
GACGGAGGGUGCAAGCGUUGUCCGGAAUCACUGGGCGUAAAGGGCGCGUAGGCGGCUCGGUAAGUAGGGGGUGAAAUCCUGCGGCUUAACCGCAGGGCUGCCUUCUAAACUGUCGAGCUCGAGCACGGUAGAGGCAGAUGGAAUUCCCGGUGUAGCGGUGGAAUGCGUAGAGAUCGGGAAGAACAUCAGUGGCGAAGGCGGUCUGCUGGGCCGUUGCUGACGCUGAGGCGCGACAGCGUGGGGAGCAAACAGG